rnacentral:tRNA from 1 species
GCCAAUGUAGCUCAGUUGGUAGAGCGCCGCCAUGGUAAGGCGGAGGUCUCCGGUUCAAUCCCGGACAUUGGCU